UGAUAAGUCUACAUUCUGCCAGUUUGCUCUACAUACUUGCUUAAUAUUGGUAAUUAUCCUUUACUGUUUUUUUUGUACCCAUUUUCGUUUUCUUUACAAUGCCUUCAAUUCCUUAUGAUAAAUCUGAAUUACAAAACCCAUUCACAGCAUUGCAUUGUACUAGUUGCAAUUUAUGAUUGAAAACUAUUUUUAAGUGGUCUAAAAUGAUCUUCAUGUUCCAAGAAUUCAGAAAUAAGUACUUGGCAGUCAAGAAUGAAGAUUCAAUGACCAUUACUGUGUUUGAGUCUCUCUAAUUCAAGAAAUUACCCAUUUAAUCUUCUUUUCUGUUAUACAUACCCUUUUUCUGCAUUUGCAUUUUAAUUCUGUUUUCGAUUCAGAAUUUAGUCUUCAACCUGUUUUUGUGAUGUGUUUUGUUUUUCUACUUUCUGAUUCAAGUUACAUCUCAGAAUUAUCAAUUGUUCAUCUCGGUAGUUGAAUUUUGUUCACCCAUAUUCCAGUUGUCAUUCCAACUCUGCCAUAGCAUACCCAAUAUCAUUCCCUGCAUCAGUUGCAUAUAGCUUAAUUAACUCAGUUAAGAAGUUUUGAGCAGGUCAAUAUGAAACAUUAGAGUUUGAUCAGUGGUUGUGUAGGGCACCACAGUGAGUUGCUUGGUAAAUAACUGAUAGGGUGUAUAUGUAUAUCUUCUACUGUUAUGGUAAUUGUCUUGUUCUAAGGUGUAUGUGGACUAGUAAUGUAUGAAGUUAGGAUAGUAAGAACUGUUUAGCUAUGUUAGAAUAAUUAAUAAGUCUACUUAUGUUAGUGUAGUAAGAGGAACUAAAGGAGGGAGUAGUCUGUUGGGUUAUCUAUAAUCAUUGUACCUAGCAGUCUAGGGCUGUUCCUUGACCUUCCAUCUCCCUAUUGUAUCAUCUUUUUAUCAAUAUAAAUAGCAGAACAGGAGAAGGGUCUUUCAAGUCUUUUAGAAAUACAUUUUUCUGUUUUAGAUCUCAAGUUGGUAUCAGACUGCUCUGGUUUCUGUCCUGUGUUGUCUACCAGCAUUGUCAUUGCUGUUCGCAUCUGCCCGGUGCCCUUUGUCGCUAUCCGCGGUUGUCUAGUCACUAUCUGCAGCUGUUAAUUGCAGUUUGGAGCUUUUCAUCUUGGUUUGCAGCUGUCCAUAGUCGUCUGCCGCCGUCCACCGCCGUUUGCCGUCACUGCUCCGUCCGGUGACCACUGGAUCUGGUUUGUCUCGCGCUCGUCACGCGACGACCAACCCACCGAUGCCGGAGUCUAAUUCUCCUCCACGCUCCGCCGUGCGCCGCUCCUUUGUGCACCACGAAUAGGCGCGUGCAGUUCACUCAAUUUUCAAGGACAAAAAUUUUUGAAGUUGGAAAGAAUGUAAAACCCGGAAAAUUAAUACAGCUUUAUGCACAAGUUAUUUGUUGGAAUAUAUAUUGUUAAUAAAAUGAGUUAUACUUUUGUACAAGUGCCUUGUGGUUUAAUUAGUAGGAGUUGUUAUGGUGCAAAUAAUGUGUGCUUGUUUAUACGGUCUUACUUUUAUAUAGGCCAUUAGGUAGUAAUUAAAUAUCUAUUAAAUGUUAAUAAAAAUCAAAAGAAAUGAAUCGGUGUAGUGGUAGCAUUGUGG
rnacentral:lncRNA from 1 species